rnacentral:rRNA from 2 species
CAUAAGCCAGCUUGACUGCGAGCGUGACGGCGCGAGCAGGUGCGAAAGCAGGUCAUAGUGAUCCGGUGGUUCUGAAUGGAAGGGCCAUCGCUCAACGGAUAAAAGGUACUCCGGGGAUAACAGGCUGAUACCGCCCAAGAGUUCAUAUCGACGGCGGUGUUUGGCACCUCGAUGUCGGCUCAUCACAUCCUGGGGCUGAAGUAGGUCCCAAGGGUAUGGCUGUUCGCCAUUUAAAGUGGUACGCGAGCUGGGUUUAGAACGUCGUGAGACAGUUCGGUCCCUAUCUGCCGUGGGCGCUGGAGAACUGAGGGGGGCUGCUCCUAGUACGAGAGGACCGGAGUGGACGCAUCACUGGUGUUCGGGUUGUCAUGCCAAUGGCACUGCCCGGUAGCUAAAUGCGGAAGAGAUAAGUGCUGAAAGCAUCUAAGCACGAAACUUGCCCCGAGAUGAGUUCUCCCUGACCCUUUAAGGGUCCUGAAGGAACGUUGAAGACGACGACGUUGAUAGGCCGGGUGUGUAAGCGCAGCGAUGCGUUGAGCUAACCGGUACUAAUGAACCGUGAGGCUUAACCUUACAACGCCGAAG